rnacentral:rRNA from 1 species
GAUGAACGCUAGCGACAGGCUUAACACAUGCAAGUCGAGGGGCAGCGGGGAGCGAAGCUUGCUUUGCUCCGCCGGCGACCGGCGCACGGGUGAGUAACGCGUAUGCAACCUGCCCGUUUCAGCGGGAUAACCCGGAGAAAUCCGGCCUAAUACCGCAUGUGGCCGAGGGGAGGCAUCUUCUUUCGGCCAAAGGAGGCGACUCCGGAGACGGAUGGGCAUGCGUGACAUUAGCUUGUUGGCGGGGUAACGGCCCACCAAGGCGACGAUGUCUAGGGGUUCUGAGAGGAAGGUCCCCCACACUGGUACUGAGACACGGACCAG